rnacentral:lncRNA from 1 species
AAAUUACUCAAGUAAGUAAAUUAAUAAAGAAUACUUUAAUCUAAUUUUUAGUAUAAUCAAAAUCUAAUUUAGUCUUAUUAUCUUAAGAUUUUUAACUCUAUUUAUCUAUUCACUAAUCAUUAGCCUUGUUUUGUGCCUUUUUUGUUACCACUUUUUUAUAGUGGGUUGUUACCUAGCCUCCUUAAACAUAUCUUAUGUUUUUGGUGACUAUUAUCAAUAAAUUAUUGCUGAUUAAAAAAAAAACAAUUUUAACCAAAAAAAUCACUAUCACUAUUCACCACUACUCUUAAGUCAGUGAGAGACACAACUACCUCUCAACAUUUUCACCCACCCCCCUCACACGCAUUAAAAAAAAAAUUCCCCAAUUCCAAUUUGUUUUCUUUCUUCCCAUCUCAAAUCUUUUUCAUUUACAAACAACACAAAUUCCAAUUUGUUUUCUUUCUUCCCAUCUCAAAUCUUUUCCAUUUACAAACAACACAAUAGUUUACAAAAGGUUAUUAGUUACCUGUUGGUGGGAUGGAAGCACCGAAGCACAGCAGCAGCAGCUUGCAAUCACGCACAGAUCAAAGGAGAGGAAAGAAAGAAGCAUGGACAGAGGAGAGGAAAGAACACAGGCUGUGAAAUUGUUUGUGAGGAGAGGAAAGAAAGAAGCAUGAACAGAGGAGAGGAUUAGGAAAGAAAGAAGGAAGNNN